rnacentral:rRNA from 1 species
UACGUAGGGGUGCAAGCGUUAAUCGGAAUUACUGGGCGUAAAGCGUGCGCAGGCGGCUUUGCAAGACAGAUGUGAAAUCCCCGGGCUUAACCUGGGAACUGCAUUUGUGACUGCAUGGCUGGAGUGCGGCAGAGGGGGAUGGAAUUCCGCGUGUAGCAGUGAAAUGCGUAGAUAUGCGGAGGAACACCGAUGGCGAAGGCAAUCCCCUGGGCCUGCACGUGACUCAUGCACGAAAGCGUGGGGAGCAAACAGG